rnacentral:rRNA from 1 species
CCUACGGGAGGCAGCAGUGAGGAAUAUUGGUCAAUGGACGCAAGGCUGAACCAGCCAUGCCGCGUGCAGGAUGACGGCUCUAUGAGUUGUAAACUGCUUUUGUACGAGGGUAAACCUCUCUACGUGUGUCUGGUUGAAUGUAUCGUACGAAUAAGGAUCGGCUAACUCCGUGCCAGCAGCCGCGGUAAUACGGAGGAUCCGAGCGUUAUCCGGAUUUAUUGGGUUUAAAGGGUGCGUAGGGGGUUUGUUAAGUUAGAGGUGAAAUGUCGGGGCUCAACCCCGAAACUGCCUUUAAUACUGGUGGACUAGAGAAUAUUUGCGGUAGGCGGAAUGUGUGGUGUAGCGGUGAAAUGCAUAGAGAUCAUACAGAACACCGAUUGCGAAGGCAGCUUACCAAACUAUAUCUGACGUUGAGGCACGAAAGCGUGGGUAGCAAACAGGAUUAGAUACCCGUGUAGUC